UACGUAGGGGGCAAGCGUUGUCCGGAUUUAUUGGGCGUAAAGAGCUCGUAGGCGGUUUGGUAAGUCUGGUGUGAAAUCUCCACGCUCAACGUGGAGGGGCCACCCGAUACUGCCAUGACUGGAGUCCGGUAGAGGAGUGUGGAAUUCCCGGUGUAGCGGUGAAAUGCGUAGAUAUCUGGAGGAACACCGGUGGCGAAGGCGGCGUCCUGGACCAAUACUGACACUGAGGAGCGAAAGCCAGGGGAGCAAACGGG
rnacentral:rRNA from 1 species